CAAGUCGAACGCUUCUUUCCUCCCGAGUGCUUGCACUCAAUUGGAAAGAGGAGUGGCGGACGGGUGAGUAACACGUGGGUAACCUACCCAUCAGAGGGGGAUAACACUUGGAAACAGGUGCUAAUACCGCAUAACAGUUUAUGCCGCAUGGCAUAAGAGUGAAAGGCGCUUUCGGGUGUCGCUGAUGGAUGGACCCGCGGUGCAUUAGCUAGUUGGUGAGGUAACGGCUCACCAAGGCCACGAUGCAUAGCCGACCUGAGAGGGUGAUCGGCCACACUGGGACUGAGACACGGCCCAGACUCCUACGGGAGGCAGCAGUAGGGAAUCUUCGGCAAUGGACGAAAGUCUGACCGAGCAACGCCGCGUGAGUGAAGAAGGUUUUCGGAUCGUAAAACUCUGUUGUUAGAGAAGAACAAGGACGUUAGUAACUGAACGUCCCCUGACGGUAUCUAACCAGAAAGCCACGGCUAACUACGUGCCAGCAGCCGCGGUAAUACGUAGGUGGCAAGCGUUGUCCGGAUUUAUUGGGCGUAAAGCGAGCGCAGGCGGUUUCUUAAGUCUGAUGUGAAAGCCCCCGGCUCAACCGGGGAGGGUCAUUGGAAACUGGGAGACUUGAGUGCAGAAGAGGAGAGUGGAAUUCCAUGUGUAGCGGUGAAAUGCGUAGAUAUAUGGAGGAACACCAGUGGCGAAGGCGGCUCUCUGGU
rnacentral:rRNA from 1 species